rnacentral:rRNA from 1 species
UACGAAGGGGGCUAGCGUUGCUCGGAAUCACUGGGCGUAAAGCGCACGUAGGCGGAUCGUUAAGUCGGAGGUGAAAUCCUGGAGCUCAACUCCAGAACUGCCUUCGAUACUGGCGAUCUUGGAGUCCGGGAGAGGUGAGUGGAACUCCGAGUGUAGAGGUGAAAUUCGUAGAUAUUCGGAAGAACACCAGUGGCGAAGGCGGCUCACUGGUCCGGUACUGACGCUGAUGUGCGAAAGCGUGGGGAGCAAACAGG